CAGGUAAGUUGAAGAAUCUAGGCCUUAUUAUGUAUAUUUUCUCAUGCUUUUCUGCUCGUGUAUCAUAAAUAGCACCAUCUUUAAACAUGAAAGAUAACAGACUGAGUCUGAAGUGUAUUUGUACAUUAAGAUCUCUCUAUUAAUAGUCAUUAGAAAUGAAAAUCAUGUCUAUCAUUUCUUCUCUUUUCCUUACCUCUUUUAUUUCCUUUUGCUAUCCAAAUAUCUUAUUAUGUGCACCACAGUGUAUAUUUGGAAAUUAAAUGAGAAUCAUUAUAAUCAUUGUGAUUGAGAAUAUGAAGAAA
rnacentral:lncRNA from 1 species